AUUUGGAGACGGAGGAGUCACUUGGCUCAUGGUUCGAUGAAGAACGCAGCAAACUUGUGCGUCAUCGUGUGAACUGCAGGAGCACAGAUGAAACAUCGACAUUUAUUGAACGGCAUAUCGCAGUCCAUGCUGUUAUGUACUUUAAUUAAAUUUUAAAGUGCCUGCUUGGGGACUACAUAUGGUUGAGGGUUG
rnacentral:rRNA from 12 species